UACAGAGGUGGCAAGCGUUGUUCGGAAUUACUGGGCGUAAAGGGCGCGUAGGCGGCCUACUAAGUCAGACGUGAAAUCCCCCGGCUUAACCUGGGAACUGCGUCUGAUACUGGAUGGCUUGAGAUUGGGAGAGGGAUGCGGAAUUCCAGGUGUAGCGGUGAAAUGCGUAGAUAUCUGGAGGAACACCGGUGGCGAAGGCGGCAUCCUGGACCAACACUGACACUGAGGAGCGAAAGCGUGGGUAGCAAACAGG
rnacentral:rRNA from 1 species